rnacentral:SRP_RNA from 1 species
UGCCAGAGGUUGUAGAACCCAGACAGGGUAACCCCGCCAGGUCCGAAAGGAAGCAACGGUAACUUGCUCUGAGUUGUUACGGCCUCUGGCAUCU